UAGUUACCUUGCAAGAGAAAUGCCAUGAUCUUGAAGGUGUUUUACCAGAGGGUAAGCCUAGUCUGUUGUACUUGUGAAAGCUGAUGGCUGUGAUUUCCCCACCUGUGGGAAGGACAUGGUGC
rnacentral:snRNA from 1 species